GGCGCUAGGGGGGUCUAGGCGGCGCUAGGCGGGUCUAGGCGGGUCUAGGCGGCGCUAGGCGGGUCUGGGCGCCAGGGUGGGUCUGUCGCAUUUUUUCCAGCUCAUGUUUAGCAAGUUUAAACUUCCUUGGAAAUGGGGUCUGCAGAUUUUUGUUCCUUCUCUUCUUCCCUCUAUAAAUUAAAUUGGCUUUGCUUCUGCUGAGCCACAGGCUGUUUCUGGGUUCUGCAGAUUGUCCUUCUUUGACUGAUUCGAAGAAUUAAUGGGCGACGUCUAUAUUGAAAAUGAAAUAUCUGAAAUGCCUCUCGCAGCCUAUAAUGAUACGGUGUGGAACACAAGUCUUCUUUUUGAUAGUCUGGGAUUCUACUCAUCAAUGGAUGACAUUUUCACCCGUCUAUUGACACUGGCUAGUUAUAUAAGUCGUCGAUUAAUUCAAUUUAUU